GCCCUACCGACCUCGUUCUGAGCACGGCCCGCCCCCUCGUCACCCCCCUCCCUCGGCCCCGGGACUGGCCCCUCCCCUCUAUCCUGGCCCCGGCCUCUAUCCGCCUCCACCACCUCACUCCCACGCCGCCCCUCCACAGGCUUACCCCCCUCCUUAUUCCAGUGGCCUCGCCCCCCCUCUCAACUACCCGCCCCAGCCCCUGUACCCCCCUGGGCAGAUGCCUCCGGGGGUAAACCCCCCCUGGGUUCCCCCGCCCAACACCCAGCCCCCACCUCUGGGGCCCCCGCCCCUCCUCCCACCUGGACCCCCCCUCUCCAAGGAGGAAUUCUACCGGCAGAGGAGACACAGACAGGACGAGUGAGUCUCUUUCAUUGAUUGGCUGGUGGGGCUGGUUCAAUGAGCCUGUGCUGUUGACUCAAGCUGGGUCAUCAGGCUGGUGUUUCCCGGGUCGCCGGUUUCUGAAGGUUCUGAAUGGCUGUAAGGAACCAUACAGAAAUAAUGUUUUGGUGUUUUGUAUAAUGGUGACCAUAUUCAUGCCUUUUAAAAAUGCCUAUAUCUUAGCUUUAUUUGUAACAUUAAAUAAUUUGCAACAAAAUACCAAGAGAUGGAUUCAAGUCUGCCGGUUUUGACUGUUUCUUCUUCGUUGCUGUGAAGCUUAGUCCAUAAAGCCGGGUUGAGUAUGUAGCCGUCCAUGUCCGCUGUUGGGCAGUUGACACAAAACAAGUGCUUUCCAUUUGGCACUUACUAAUUUGGCUCGAGGUUUUAAAACUAUUAGUUAUGACCUUUUAUAUUAAAGGUAUGAGUCUCUCUAGCUCCUAUCUUCCCUCUAUGACACAGUGAACCGCCUCAUUUGAGAAACCUGCAGGUCUUUUCUAUGCUCACGUAUUAUCUGUUAUGUCAUUGUAUUAUGGAGUUAGAAACCCUCCUGUCUGUUCUGCGUUGCCAGGGUAACGUCCAAGCUGGAUGAAUUCACAAAAAACUUUGCCAAUGAGCUGAUGAAAUACAGGACGCCCCCCAAGAGGCGACCACGCUCCUACUCCAGAUCUCGCUCCUUCAGCCGGUCCCCCUUCAGCCGGUCCCCGUUCUCCCGCUCGCGCUCGUCUCGGUCCCGGUCUUACUCCUACACCCCCAGCCGCUCCCGCUCCCGGUCCCGGUCGUAUGGACGCUCCCCUUUCUCCCGGCGCAACGGAGGCAGAGGGGGACGCAGCCGCUCCUACGGGCGUUCGCCGCGCUCGCGCUCACGCUCCCGUUCCUAUGGUUACCGGCGCUCUGGCUCUCCUCGCUCCCCUCCUCCGUACCGCGGUGGUGGGGGCUGGGAAGGGGGCGAGGGAGCGGGUGGUGGGUUCAGGCCACGAUCUCGUUCCCCGGGGGGGUACAGGCGGAGCAGAACUCCAGGGGGGGUCAGAGGUCACCAUAAGCCCCCCCCUCGGGAGCCGCCCCCCUGUGAACCCAAAGGUCGUCCAGACCUGUCCCCGGGGGGACGGGAGAGGUGGGAGAGGGACAGCUACAGGCAGUGGGAGAGAGAGUACCGUGACUGGUAUAACAAGUACUACAAAGACUACAGUACCCAGCAUUCCUCUGUGCACCACCAUCACCGCGGCGGCCGGGCGAGCAGGGAGAGGGAUCGCCUCAGCCCUCCUCCAAGAGACUACUCCCCCCCAGGACGGGGGAAGAGGGGGGAGAGGGGUGGCCCCCCAGGCCCUCACAGGACCCACCAAGCCCCGGCCGCUCUGCCUGCUGCCUCUGGCCGGGGGGACGCAGGGAAGGAGCGCGCGCAGGGGGGGGCGAAGGCUCUGAAACCAAAGAAACUGAAGAAGAAGAAGAACAGCGGGGAGGAGCCAGAGUCAGCCAACCAAUCAGUGGACAGAGGUGAUGCCACCCCCGUCAGGGAUGAGCCGAUGGAUGACCUCCCCAGUCUGACCCCCAGCAAAGCCCCCACCACCAAAGUUUCAACCAAUAAGGCUGCAGGGUUGUCUGGAAAAACCCCUCCCACUGCGUCUGGCAAGGGCCAGUCAGAGAAGAGCAGGAAGGAGACUGGGGGAAAGGUGAAGAAGAAGACCGGAGACUCUGCAGCCACGGCGUCCAAGAAGAAAGAUGUUUCAGCUCCUAAACCAACCAAGGUCACCAAGGUCAAAACCGAGGAGACCAACAAGAAAGAGAAGGGGCGGAGCACCACAACUCUCAAAGGAGGUGUGGCUAAAGUGUCUCUUUCUCGCCCCCAGCCCUCUCACUCCCACGACCCUCCUAAACACCUCGCUGACACCCGAGGGGGGAGGAGAGAGCCCCUUCAAAGUGUUGGGGUACCGCCCCCACGACCCCCCCAGUCUGCACCCCACUCUCCAGCAGAGAAGAGGAGAAGAGUGGAGAUGGGAAUGGAAAGAGGGAUGGACAGGGGAAUGGAAAGGGGGAUGGACAGGGGGAUGGACAGGGGGAUGGAAAGGGGGAUGGACAGGGGGAUGGACAGGGGGAUGGACAGGGGGAUGGACAGGGGGAUGGACAGAGGGAUGGAGAGGGGAAUGGAGAGGGGGAUGGACAGAGGGAUGGAGAGGGGGAUGGACAGAGGGAUGGAGAGGGGAAUGGACAGAGGGAUGGACAGAGGGAUGGAGAGGGGAAUGGACAGAGGGAUGGCUGGUCCUCCAGCUAAGCUGCGCCGUGCUGAAAUGUACCCCCACAGGGGACCUCCUGCCCUCUCUACCAAGCUGCAUCUACCCUCCAUUGCAGGCAGGGAGUCUGGGAUGGGAGAUGGUCUGCUCCCCAUCCCCAUCUCUGGCCUGGGCUCCUCCAUGGACGUAGGGAGAGGCGACGGGCUGCUGCCCAUCCCUGGGAGCUCUGAGGCUGGCCGGCCUGAGGGCUCCAUCUGGCCCCUCAUGGGCCUCCAGGUGAAACCCUUCCCCCAGAGGAGAAUCAAACUGAACCGAGACCUGGGGAGGAGGUGCAGCGUGGCCCGCACCGAGGAGAAACCUUUAGCUCACACCGCCUCCUCGGUUAACACUGGAGCGUCCAGUCCCGACCGAGCCAAGAGCCGAGACGGAGAAGAGGAGAGAGGAGAAGAGGAGAGAGGAGGAGACAGGGUGAGCCGGACCGUAACGGAAGGAGGAGAGGGGGAUGGAGGGAUGGAGAGAGUGGCGCUGACGGUGGAGCGAAGGUCGUCUGGCGAGAGGUCAGAGGUCAGGUCUGUGAGGUCAGACCGGCCGUCCUCAGGGGAACAGUUGCCCGGGAGGUCGGACAGAGGAGCGGGCAGAUCGGUCUCCCUGGAUCGUAUGACCAUCGCCGAGCGCUCAGCCAUCGCUAAGAAACCUGAUCCGGCUGGGGAAAGAGUGGCAAACAAGCACACGCCGCCUACAGAGAAACCAGAAGUAACCGACCAGGCCUCCACGAAGGACCGGUCGUUGUCAAGAGAAAGAUCAGCCAGGAGAGACCAGCGAGGAGGGACCUCGCCCUCCGUAGACAGACCUGUCUCCGGGCCGGAAAAGCAGACUGAUACCAAGACCGAGACUGCAGCUAAAGACCGGCCAGCAGCAGUCACCCAGGGCUCUGGUUCAAGUCAGAGGUCGGGGAAGGUCAAGACUGACAAGACCAGGAAGAUCAGCAGGAAAACCGCUACUGACCGCAACACAACCGCUGGCAGCUCUUCUGACAACACGGUCGACCGAUCCAGAACCACCGGGUCAGUGAGGUCAGAGCCGUGUCCGGACCAGGGAAACCAGCUGGGCGCCCAGGUCCAGAGCAGAGUCAGCCCCAUUCAUUUCCCCAGCCCAGGAAGGGAGAAGGAGCGUGGGGCCGGGGGCGUCCUCAUCCAGCCUCCUCCUCGCUCCAAAUGGGAAAGGGAUGAUCAGGAGGAGGAACAGGAUGUGGAGGAGCAGCGUUCCUCAUCGACGUCCAGAGAAAACGAGGUAGUGGUGAAGCCAUCUGCCCGGAGCAGAGAACCUCUGAGGAGAGAAACCUCUCAAACUCUACCUCGAGGACGAGGAAGGGAGGUGCCGAGUGGUGUCUCUAAAUCAACCAAGGUGGAGGUGAAGAGGGGGAAGGAAGAGGUGAAGAGGGGGAGGGAAGAAGGGAAGAGGGGGAGGGAGGAGGGGCGAGUGGUUAAAGAGGCUCCGUCUGACUCCAGUAAACCAGCUAAGACAGAGUCCAGAGGCCUAAAGGAGGAGGGACGGGGAGGGGCCGGGCUAAUGAGGGAGGGAAGUCGAGGGGCGGGGCCAGAGCCAAGGCGACAGCGUCUGUGUUCCGACCUGGGCAGAGAGACUGACGAGGCUGCCUUUGUCCCAGACUAUAGUGAAGGGGAGGGGUCAGAUGGUGAGAGGGGUAGUGGUUUGAGCCACAGCCCCUCCCUCAACACUCAAAGCCCCGCCUCCCAGAGUGCUGCCAGCCGGGGUGCUGUCUCCCCUAGCAACCACAGCGGCUCCACCGUGACAGCAGAGAAGAAGAAGAAGAAACACAAGAAACACAAAAAACACAAGAAGCAUAGGAAGCAUUCUGCCCACGCGGAUGACAGCCAUGACGCUCCUGAGACUCCCACGGGAGAGACGAAGGAGCACCGACAUGAACAUAAACACAAACACAAGAAGAAGAAGCACAAGAAGAAUAGAACAAAGGAGGAAGGCGAAGACAAGGAGAAGGGAAGGAGGGUUGAUGAAAUGAUAGAUAAGACUGGACAGAAGUCAGCCGCCGUCUGAGAUUGCUAGUGUCUACCCAACGGCCACAACUUAUGCUAGCUCCAUUAGCAUCUAGCGAAUGGCUACGACUGGACUCAUCAUUCUUGCAGGAUACGUUUAAUUACUUGUGCUGAGCUGGAUAUAGUUUAUGUACAAUGAAACCUAGGGUAUUGUCCCUUAAGUAUCAAGCUUAACAUCACAAGUACUAAAUCACCUCAGAUAUUUGUAAGUUGUUGACAUAAUGUGACCCAGCUGUCUGGUCUGUUUUCUGUGUAUAAGAUGGAGGGUUUUUCUGAAUGUGUUUUUGUACAGAGCAAUGACGCUGCAGUAUUUUCUAUAUCUUCUGACAUGGUUAGAAGGUGUCUGAAAGUGGGUGGGUCCGACAUGGCACACUUAUCACAGUGCUCCACAUAAACAAUCUUAGACUGGAUCUAGGGAGCCAGCGGGCCGAUAUAGGAACUCUGAUUAAAUAAAAUAGUACACGAUGAAGGGAGUGGGUGCCAUUUGGGUGGAAUGGAGGUUAUGUCAUCAUGUUCAUGUGAACUGAUCUGAACUCAGGCUAACUGAAUGGUGACCACUGGAAGUUACUGUUCUUAACUUUUUUGUUUUUUAAUAAAAAUGUUUUUUUCCUCAAUCUCUUGACUGGUGAUUUUUUUUUUGUAAUAGUUUGGUUAAUAAAAAAUAAGUAUAAUCUUUAACUUUUG
ensembl:lncRNA